GACUGGCGGAGCCCGCAGCCAAUUGCGGCGACUCCGGGAAUCCGGGCGGCCGCGGGCAGUGCCGAGCGCCCGGCUCCGCCCCGCUGCCGCCGUCCAAUCGCCCGCGGCUGAGGGCUGGAUCUGAGACGCGCUGGCGGCGGGGAAGUUGGCUGCGGUGGGGUGCCUGGGCUACGGGCUGGUGCUGUCGGGGUAGCUGCCCCGCGACCCGGGCGCCUCGGGAGGGAAGUGGCGGCCCCGGAAGGCCCCUGCCUUAGAGAGGUCUGGGGCAGUCCAGAGCCCCAAGAGCCGCAGCGUGUCGGCGCGCUGCGAAGCGAGAAGCCCAGCCGCAGCGCGGACCGACUCCGGAUUGACAACGCCCACACCUGGUGUCCGCGGGAGGCGCCGAACUUGGCGUCCCCAAAGGAGCCCCAGCGAGGAAACCGAGACCCAAAGAGGGAUGAAGAAGUUUGUGGAAUGGCUUGGGAAUGAGAAGACUGAGUUGAGGCCAUGGAAGCUGGGCUGGUCCUUUUGUGGAUGUCAUUGGUUUAUUCUUCAUAGCACACCUGGGGAGUAUAUCCAUGCUGUUAUCCUCUGUUCACAGCCGAGGCAACUGAGACUGAAGGCAAAGUGUUUUGUCCAAGCGCACAACAGGGGCAGGAGGAAAAAUCCACAAUACAUACAUCUGGGGACUUUCCAUAUUGAUGGAAGAAAGUGUUCAGGAUACCUAAGUGAAUCCCAUUGAAGGCAUGUAUUAGCAUUAAUUUCUCCUAACUAUUAAAACUGAAGCUAAUGUGGGUUCUUUCUCUUCUUAAGAUGUGCCGCAAAAAUGCUGAACCUCUCAAAGAUGAUUGAGGCCAAAACAUGCCAGAAUUAACCUUGUUUAAAAAACAAAAACUAUGCGCAGUAGAUAACUUUCCCAACCAAUAAGACUGAGGCUCUUUUCACAGGAGCUUCUGAAUUCUGAACAAGGUCUAAUGGGAUAUUGCAAGGAGCAAAAUACUGUGUGAGAAGUUAAUGACAUUUCAUCUUGAUGUCUGGUGAAGGCCAAUUUAGGAUGCAUCUGGAAACAGGCAUGUCAGCUGACUAAACCCUGGGAGUCUUUGUGGGGAGGUUGUUGGUCUUGUCCUGGGUAAAGGACCCAAGGUCAUUGAGUUAUAGCAUCUCAAGGUACUUUUCAUGGCCUCUGCAGUAAUCACUACAGUAUUAUCCUCAGGUAUAAGUACUCAGUAAAUAUUUGUUUGAUAGAAUUUAAUUGUUAACAGGUUCUGAGCUUAACUAAAGCAGACAACUGCCCUUGGAAAUACAACCAAUCUCUCAGAAGUCCAAAGAGAAAAGAGCAUAGCCAAGGUCGAGUGUCCCCAGAAAGGUCAUGCUUGCUUAGAAUUCAUAGCUCAAAUCAGCUGUGGUGGGCAUGAGGGCACUAAUUCUUAUUCAGAGUCAAAGAAACUAUUCACUUGCAAAUGAAUUGGAAUAUGUAAUUGGACCUGGCCCCUGAAAGUUUUGUGGCCUUUUCAAAGCAAAAUGGAAAAAGGGAAAACUAUGGCUGUUUUCUGACUCCCUUUUCCAAGAACCUGAAAAUAUAUUACAAAUGAGUUCUUAGUUGUGGGUCACCAUCCUUGCAAGACCUGUCUUUGGUUCCAAGGUUAGAAACUCUUCCUCUGCCUCCCGUUCUCACCGAUCCCCAACUUGAGCUAGGUCUCAAAGUCUCAUUUUGACCAUAUAUUCUUUCAGCCACGUGGGGGAGGAUGAGAAGAGGCUAAAUAUAGCCAUGGAAAAAACAACCAGCAAACUAGAAAGCACCUUCAGGCUUAACAUCAACACUCCACAGGGGAUUCUGAUGGUCAGCCAGGGUGGAGAACCACUGUCCUAGACAGACGAUAAUAAUAAACUCAGACAAGCCAAGAGCAACAAGAAAACACCGUGGAGUCCAUUUAGGAGAAAAAGUCUAGCAUCUUCCAGGCUUCUGUUUACCUACUUUGCCACUAUUAUUAACAAAGGAACUGCUUCCAUGAAAAAAUCAACUGUAGGAUCCAUGUGUGGAGUUCCAGGAAAUAGCGCCAAGAUUAAAGUUUACUUAAGAACCACCUGUGUUUGUUAUAAUUUACUGGGUAAAUUUAUGGGGACUCUCCUUGUGUUAUUACUGCUUCCACUCUAAUAUUUUUAUUUGGAGUACCUUGUGUUAUAAUUGACAGUAAAAACCUCUGAUAUCUGCCCAUUUAUCCAUCUUUCAAACAUUUAUUGAAUACUUGGCAUAUGAGAUUACGGAAUGAAAAUAAUGUUCUUUGUCCAUAGGAGUUUAUCAUCAAGUGAUAAAA